rnacentral:lncRNA from 1 species
AGACAGCUUCCUGAGUACUAAACUUAUGUGCAGCAACUUGGAUCAUGAGAAUUAAUCUGGUAGCAUAUCUAAUGAUACAAGCUGUUCCAUGUAGGAGACAGGAGUCCCUCUUCUACAAAUAGCUUUUCAAAACUGGCUCUUAGACACAUGCAACUAACCCUACACAUUUAUGCCUAUAGCUACUAGCAAUCUGAAUUGCAACACAUGCAAGACUCUCCCAUACACAAAGAAUGCCUAUUACACGGUUCUGUUAUUUCACAUAGCCAGAACUUCAACACAGAAAAAUGUUACAUAUACGUUUCUGAGUUUGAGACAUGUGAGCAUGAUAAAUACAGAAUAUUCUGAAACUAUCAAAAAAAAAAACCAGCUCAGUGUCAAGUAUAAGGGUGAUGAGCUGUGCUCCUUCAAAGUAGAGCACUGAUACAGCAUUCCCUCCUGCCUAUAGGCCAUAGGGAUCUAUGCUGGUUUCCUGCUAAGGUACAGCUGGGUUUAUCUGAGAAUUCUUCUGUUCUUGAUUCAUGGCAUUAUUUUUUUUUGGUCUUGCUUUAUCAGUCUGAAUCUGUAUUGUGAUUGUUGGGCUGCAUCUAAUAGUGGUUACUCUCUCUGAAUGUAACCUGUGAUUUUGUUUUCUGGCUUGGCCUUGGACCCAAUUUGUCACCAUGGAUGUGUCUGUUGAAUCUGGCUGUUUUCCCUGGCUCUGUCCUGCUUGGGUGUUGUGAGGCUAGAUCUCGGCUAGUGAGGCCCUUGCCCUGCUGUCUGUGGUAUCAGGUUUAAGUCUGCAUUCCUUACGGAGCAGCUGAUUCUGCAGGCAGUUCUGCACUUGUACAACUGCUUUUAUUUCUUGCACGUUGAUCUCUAGACUUUCUCUAAGAGCCAUCUAAGGAGUCAGAGCUAUUGCUGAAGUCUAGCUAUGUGAUUUCAAGUACUUCUCUAUUACUCUCAAAAGCCUAUUACAUUCUUAAAUAAGGCCUCUUCUAGAGUUAAUGAAUGCUUUCCAACUUCGUAUGCAAAGGUCCCCUUUUGGUACUGGAAGGUUGCAAUGAUGUCUCCCUGGAGCCUUCCCUUCGCCAGGCUGAACAACACCAGCUCCAACUCUUUCAGCAUCACAAGUAGCAAGUGAAAAUAUUCUGAUUAAUC